rnacentral:tRNA from 1 species
AAAUAAGAAGCAAAAUAAUUGCAUUUAGUUUCGACCUAAAAAUAUGAUAAAUUAUCCUUAUUUA